rnacentral:tRNA from 1 species
ACCUUGGUGGUGUACGGGUUAACACACUCGGCUCGUAUUCGAAAGGCACAGGUUCGAGUCCUGGCGAAGGCA